CCUACGGGUGGCAGCAGUGAGGAAUAUUGGGCAAUGGACGAGAGUCUUAACCAGCAAAGUAGCGUGAAUGAUGACUGCCCUCUGGUUUGUAAACUUCUUUUAUAUGGGAGUAAAAUGUUCCACGUGUGGGAUUUUGUAUGUACCAUAUGAAUAAGGAUCGGCUAACGCCGUGCCAGCAGCCGCGGUAAUACGGAGGAUCCGAGCGUUAUCCGGAUUUAUUGGGUUUAAAGGGAGGGUAGGUGGAUGGUUAAGUAAGUUGUGAAAGUGUGCGGCUCAACCGUAAUAUUGCAGUUGAAACUGGCAGUCUUGAGUACAGUAGAGGUGGGCGGAAUUCGUGGUGUAGCGGUGAAAUGCUUAGAUAUCACGAAGAACUCCGAUUGCGAAGGCAGCUCACUGGACUGCAACUGACACUGAGGCUCGAAAGUGUGGGUAUCAAACAGGAUUAGAUACCCGAGUAGUC
rnacentral:rRNA from 1 species